rnacentral:rRNA from 1 species
GUGGGGAAUUUUGGACAAUGGGCGCAAGCCUGAUCCAGCCAUUCCGCGUGCAGGAUGAAGGCCUUCGGGUUGUAAACUGCUUUUGUACGGAACGAAAAGGUUCUCUCUAAUACAGGGGGCUGAUGACGGUACCAUAAGAAUAAGCACCGGCUAACUACGUGCCAGCAGCCGCGGUAAUACGUAGGGUGCAAGCGUUAAUCGGAAUUACUGGGCGUAAAGCGUGCGCAGGCGGUGAUGUAAGACAGAUGUGAAAUCCCCGGGCUCAACCUGGGAACUGCAUUUGUGACUGCAUUGCUGGAGUGCGGCAGAGGGGGAUGGAAUUCCGCGUGUAGCAGUGAAAUGCGUAGAUAUGCGGAGGAACACCGAUGGCGAAGGCAAUCCCCUGGGCCUGCACUGACGCUCAUGCACGAAAGCGUGGGGAGCAAACAGGAUUAGAAACCCCGGUAGUCC